rnacentral:lncRNA from 1 species
AAGGCACCACGGCCUCUGGCUCCAUUCCACCCUCCCCGCGCUCUCCUUAAACCUCAGGCUUCUUUUUUCUGCCUGCUGCAGGGCUUCUCAGCCUGGGCUGGAUCCUGGACAGACAGGCCCAGGCAGGCUGUGCACUGUGACCUGGGGCCUUGCUGUGAACAAAGAGGACUUCAAGAGGAGAUGGCCUGGAGGAGUUCGCCUCUGUGGUCAUUUUGCUUCAGCGGACCAGUCAGCAAAUAAUGACUGCCCUUGGUCAUCACUGGGAAGAUAAAGGAUUAUUAAAAGAGGGCCCGGCUGCUUGCAGAUUACACCUGCUACAUUUGGAGUGGAAAGAGGCUUCUCUGUCAGUGCCCCUUGCCCCCAUGGAAAGACACUAAUAGCAAUCUUCAACCAUAAUUGUUUGGUCCAUUUUGUUCUGGACCAAGUUUGCAUAAGUUUUAAGCCUGAAAGUCAAAGAAAAACGAAAUCUUACACGUAAACAUGGCCUUUCCAUCACUUGAAAAAGGCACCCUCUCUCUCUCUUUCUCUCUGCCUCGUAAACACAGCGGUCUUGCUCAGAGCAAUCUUGAGCUCUGAGCUGUGAAGAAUUGCUGUAGGUAGGAAGAAACGUUGGCUCUGGAAUUCAAUUAACUGUCAGCAUUGCUGUUCGAGUCAGGAUGACUCACUCCUCUUCAGCAAAUGGGCAUGGGGGCUGUGAGCCUCCAAGAUUAAUGGUGAUUGAUAAGCCGCUGGAGCUCCAGGACGAAGCCUCCCAGAAUCCUUCCCUCACCCACACACGUUUUUACAUGAAAAUAUAAUAAAGAGAUAGUGGGAGAGGAUGUGUGAGUACAGAGGAGAUGCUGUCAAGAAUUUGCCUGUAUCCUUUUCUUUUAUAUUGAAGUCCGUGCAGAAAGAGCCUGGCUCCUCUACUGCCUCCCCUUC